rnacentral:rRNA from 1 species
CCUACGGGAGGCAGCAGUGGGGAAUUUUGGACAAUGGGCGAAAGCCUGAUCCAGCAAUGCCGCGUGAGUGAAGAAGGCCUUCGGGUUGUAAAGCUCUUUUGUCAGGGAAGAAACGGUGAGGGCUAAUAUCCCUUGCUAAUGACGGUACCUGAAGAAUAAGCACCGGCUAACUACGUGCCAGCAGCCGCGGUAAUACGUAGGGUGCAAGCGUUAAUCGGAAUUACUGGGCGUAAAGCGUGCGCAGGCGGUUUUGUAAGUCUGUCGUGAAAUCCCCGGGCUCAACCUGGGAAUUGCGAUGGAGACUGCAAGGCUAGAAUCUGGCAGAGGGGGGUAGAAUUCCACGUGUAGCAGUGAAAUGCGUAGAGAUGUGGAGGAACACCGAUGGCGAAGGCAGCCCCCUGGGUCAAGAUUGACGCUCAUGCACGAAAGCGUGGGGAGCAAACAGGAUUAGAUACCCUGGUAGUCCACGCCCUAAACGAUGUCUACUAGUUGUCGGGUUUUAAUUAACUUGGUAACGCAGCUAACGCGUGAAGUAGACCGCCUGGGGAGUACGGUCGCAAGNUUAAAACUCAAAGAUAGUCGGCGNGNGAGAGCGACGACGACGACGACGGAGGAGGAG